CAACUUCGAGAAGACUCUUCAAGUUCCUGACGAGUUCUCGCUUGUGGGCAAAUUGAGCAAGUGUUCCUUCGGUAUAACAGAGAUUGAGUACCUCGGCUUUAUUAUUGGUGGGGGGCGGGUAAAGGCGAUAGAGAACUGGCCACAGCCCCGAUCAAUCAAGCAGCUACGUUCUUUUUUGACCUUUGCAACUAUCUCAGUCCAUCCAGUUUACUUGGAAGUUCCAGGUUUGUUCGAUUUUAAACCCACAGAUUCACCGGCUGGCAACGAACACCUGCUUUCUCUUCGGGAAAUCCAGUUGCUGGUUUGACACCAUUUAGAAGCAGCCAGGAACCGAAUGAAGCAGUCUGCUGACAGAAGACACUCAUUUCGUGAAUUUCAAGUGAAUAUGUAUCCUUUUGGCUUGAGUGGCACACAUAUUGGGAAGCAGAACAGUGUCCAAGUCCAAGCUCCAUCCUCGCUCUUAUCAGGUCGUCAAACAAAUCAAUGAGGUGGUGUACAAACUUUUGCCUUCACAACGUACUUCAUAUGUCUGAGCUCAAGGUGCAGCAUGGUCUACUUCCAAGCCAGCCAGAAAUACCGACUCCAACGAUAGCCAUGGGUGACAGAUUUUUACUUAUCACAGAGAGGGUCGUGGCUCAGGAAGAACAGGUGUUGUGCAUCCGUUUUCGGAUUCACUGGUAGGGAAUGAUAGCAGAGAAUGACACCUGGGUUUCUACUGAGGAACUGGCCGCUCUGCAUGAUUCUGGGGGCAAGUACAGAGUGUUCGACCAUGUUAUGAGUAUAAAGGUGGAGCAGGGUGGUGACGGGUAGGUUACUUUAUGUUCUCUCACUUAUGCCAACAUUCUCUUCUCUUUAUUCCUUCAUUGUAUAUCAGGAUUGUUCCCAACUCAGCAAUAUGAUUGGCGCUUGUAACCAACUGUGAGACCAACAUUAUAAGUCUCAUAUCUUUAA